GGGGGUGAAAGGAUUCGAUGAGGAGUGAACUAAAAUAAGCGGGCCAAGUUGUUAGAACUUGUAAAAACUAACAAAAAGAAUAAGUGCCAACUUGUUCAAACAACCUGCAUUAGCAUACGCUUAAUGCCAUUCGAUUUACUAAUUCUCGCUAGGUAAAAUCGAGUGUCAUAAUCUUGCGAGAUAAAAUAGUUCUUUCAGAAUCCGGAAAAACUAUUGAAAAAUAUUCGGAUUCAAGAUAUAGAAAUUUUGUCCGUUUUAAAUUCUGUAUCUUUUCAAAAAAACCGGACUAAUCCCGUAGAAUUAUUUUAGGAAAACGCCUCAGAUGUGGGUCCAACUCCCACCGCCUCCACAA
rnacentral:tmRNA from 1 species